rnacentral:rRNA from 1 species
AUUGAACGCUGGCGGAAUGCUUUACACAUGCAAGUCGAACGGCAGCACGGACUUCGGUCUGGUGGCGAGUGGCGAACGGGUGAGUAAUGUAUCGGAACGUGCCCAGUCGUGGGGGAUAACGUAGUGAAAAUUACGCUAAUACCGCAUACGAUCUAUGGAUGAAAGCGGGGGACCGUAAGGCCUCGCGCGAUUGGAGCGGCCGAUAUCAGAUUAGGUAGUUGGUGGGGUAAAGGCUCACCAAGCCGACGAUCUGUAGCUGGUCUGAGAGGACGACCAGCCACACUGGAACGGAGACACGGUCCAGACGCCUACGGGAGGCAGCAGUGGGGAAUUUUGGACAAUGGGCGCAAGCCUGAUCCAGCCAUUCCGCGUGCAGGAUGAAGGCCCUCGGGUUGUAAACUGCUUUUAUACGGAACGAAAAGGCUCUGGUUAAUACCUGGGGCUCAUGACGGUACCGUAAGAAUAAGCACCGGCUAACUACGUGCCAGCCGCCGCGGUAA